UAGUAAUCGUAGGUCAGCAUACUACGGUGAAUACGUUCCCGGGCCUUGUACACACCACCCGUCAAACCAUGAGAGUUGGCAACACCCGAAGUCGGUAGUCUAACCGCAAGGAGGACGCCGCCGAAGGUGGGGUUGAUGAUUAGGGUUAAGUCGUAACAAGGUAAC
rnacentral:rRNA from 1 species